rnacentral:rRNA from 1 species
ACCCGUCAUGUCUAGUAUAGCAUUAUACCGUGAAACUGCGAAUGGCUCAUUAAAUCAGUUAUCGUUUAUUUGAUAGUACCUUACUACUUGGAUAACCGUGGUAAUUCUAGAGCUAAUACAUGCUGAAAACCCCAACUUCGGGAGGGGUGUAUUUAUUAGAUAAAAAACCAACGCCCUUCGGGGCUUCUUGGUGAUUCAUGAUAACUUCACGGAUCGCAUGGCCUUGCGCCGGCGACGGUUCAUUCAAAUUUCUGCCCUAUCAACUUUCGAUGGUAAGGUAUUGGCUUACCAUGGUUUCAACGGGUAACGGGGAAUUAGGGUUCGAUUCCGGAGAGGGAGCCUGAGAAACGGCUACCACAUCCAAGGAAGGCAGCAGGCGCGCAAAUUACCCAAUCCCGACACGGGGAGGUAGUGACAAUAAAUACUGAUACAGGGCUCUUUUGGGUCUUGUAAUUGGAAUGAGUACAAUUUAAACCUCUUAACGAGGAACAAUUGGAGGGCAAGUCUGGUGCCAGCAGCCGCGGUAAUUCCAGCUCCAAUAGCGUAUAUUAAAGUUGUUGCAGUUAAAAAGCUCGUAGUUGAAACUUGGGCCUGGCUGGCAGGUCCGCCUCACCGCGUGUACUUGUCCGGCCGGGCCUUUCCUUCUGGAGAACCUCAUGCCCUUCACUGGGUGUGUUGGGGAACCAGGACUUUUACUUUGAAAAAAUUAGAGUGUUCAAAGCAGGCCUUUGCUCGAAUACGUUAGCAUGGAAUAAUAGAAUAGGACGUGCGGUCCUAUUUUGUUGGUUUCUAGGACCGCCGUAAUGAUUAAUAGGGACAGUCGGGGGCAUCAGUAUUCAAUUGUCAGAGGUGAAAUUCUUGGAUUUAUUGAAGACUAACUACUGCGAAAGCAUUUGCCAAGGAUGUUUUCAUUAAUCAGUGAACGAAAGUUAGGGGAUCGAAGACGAUCAGAUACCGUCGUAGUCUUAACCGUAAACUAUGCCGACUAGGGAUCGGGCGAUGUUCUUUUUUCUGACUCGCUCGGCACCUUACGAGAAAUCAAAGUUUUUGGGUUCUGGGGGGGGAGUAUGGUCGCAAGGCUGAAACUUAAAAGAAAAUUUGACGGAAGGGCCACCCACCCAGGCGGUGGAGSCYSYGGCUUAAUUUGACUCAACACGGGGAAACUCACCAGGUCCAGAUGAAAUAAGGAUUGACAGAUUGAGAGCUCUUUCUUGAUUUUUCAGGUGGUGGUGCAUGGCCGUUCUUAGUUGGUGGAGUGAUUUGUCUGCUUAAUUGCGAUAACGAACGAGACCUUAACCUGCUAAAUAGCCAGGCUAGCUUUGGCUGGUCGCCGGCUUCUUAGAGGGACUAUCGGCUCAGCCCGAG